GAUGAACGCUGGCGGCGUGCCUAAUACAUGCAAGUCGAGCGAACGGACGAGAAGCUUGCUUCUCUGAUGUUAGCGGCGGACGGGUGAGUAACACGUGGAUAACCCACCUAUAAGACUGGGAUAACUUCGGGAAACCGGAGCUAAUACCGGAUAAUAUUUUGAACCGCAUGGUUCAAAAGUGAAAGACGGUCUUGCUGUCACUUAUAGAUGGAUCCGCGCUGCAUUAGCUAGUUGGUAAGGUAACGGCUUACCAAGGCAACGAUGCAUAGCCGACCUGAGAGGGUGAUCGGCCACACUGGAACUGAGACACGGUCCAGACUCCUACGGGAGGCAGCAGUAGGGAAUCUUCGGCAAUGGGCGAAAGCCUGACGGAGCAACGCCGCGUGAGUGAUGAAGGUCUUCGGAUCGUAAAACUCUGUUAUUGGGGAAGAACAUAUGUGUAAGUAACUGUGCACAUCUUGACGGUACCUAAUCAGAAAGCCACGGCUAACUACGUG
rnacentral:rRNA from 1 species